rnacentral:lncRNA from 1 species
AAUUAGGCUAAAGGUGAGUUUUGUUGAAACUUCCGGGAAGAAAAUUUGCUACCUCGUUACGAGUGGACGGUUUUACGGAAGUCAAAUAAUUAAUAAAUAAAUAUAAAUAUACGCAAUUAAAUCCGUAAAUCGAUUAUAAAAUCAUCUAACAUUCCAUAAAUCGAUAUGAACAUAACCAAAUAAACUAUAUUUUCUCCUGAGCAUAUAGAAAUUGAAAUCUCGCGAAUACGAACACAUACGAGCAUUCAGCUCAAUAAACUAGAUAACACAAAAUUCACAAAAAUUCAUAUAUUA